ensembl:lncRNA
CCAACUGCCAAGCUCUCCAGAGGAGCUUCCUUCUGCGUCCCCGGGCCUUGAUCCCCGCCUCUCCCGCAGCCUCGCCUGUGCGGCAGCCCUGGGCACCCUGGGCUGGGGCUGCUAGGUGGCGGCUCACCCGCUCACGGGCUGCUGUUGGCAGCUGUUCCGGACCGGGGUCUCCUGGAAGCUGCAGUUUCGCCUCCGGGUUUGUGGAGUAUCUGGAUUUAAUAUACCAAGAGAAGAAGGAGGAAGCUCAGGAAGACCUGAGGAGUAGAUACAGAUGUUGAAAGGAACCAGAACACUGAAGUCAGGAAAGCAGAUGGAGAAAGGGGAUUGAAGUAGCUGGUGCUUCAGAGAACACCCACAGAACAAUUAAAUUGAAAUGCUCUUGGCAUCAGUGAAGAAAUGAAGGGAGCAAAACCAUUCUUCUGAGACGUGUAGAAGUGAAGUACCUAAACAAAUAACUGUCUUGAACACAUGUGGAAAGCCUUCUGGGGAGCAGAGCUAACAAAAGGGUGACAGCCAUGAGGCUGUCUGAGUGUCCUGUUCCUGCACACACCUCAUUAACUCCAACUCCAUACGGCAGUAUGUCUCCACAGUAACUUCCCUGGAGUGAUUGAUUUCUCCCCUAUCUUGGAAUCAAUGUUCCAGACUGAAUUAUGCUAAAAUAUGGGAUUUACCUUCAAGCAAAGUGAGUCACUGGUCCGGACAAGAACCAACUCUGCACUGCUUUUCAGACCCCAUUCUUCUCGACUGCAGGGACAAGUGGUUUCUAUUAUACUUCUGGCCUUUCAUACUCCCGAUGGUGCGGCUGAUGAAAUCCAGCAGCCAGGUGCAUGGAUGUGGUUGAAAAGACCCUCGCAGGACCUGAGCUGCCUCCCCACAGAGUGGGCUGUCUCCCUCCUGAGGUGGCCACUGCCAGUGGGACUGAUACCUGACUUAUUUCCCUGACUGAGAGGAUGGGUCAUAUGACCAAUUCAUACAUUUUUGUCCUGGUCUCUUUUUAACUAAUCACACAGUUUUCUGAUCUCUGGCCAAGGGCCAUGACCAAGGACAGAGUUUCCCUGUGUAGAUUUUUCUGCCACAGACAUUUGAAUUGGACUGUCGGAGUAGACUAAGUAUGGUAGCCAUUUUUCCCAUUAAGAUGGAAUUACCAAAACAUAAGCUUCAGGAAACACGUGGGAUGCUCUCAAGUCUGGUAACAUAUUCCCUGUCCUGUACCAGACAAGAAGCCCUGCAUCCCAUUUGCUCCUAACAGCCCCUUUCUUGGUUAUUCUGUUGAAUUUCCAGUUAGCCAGGUCUGAAAAACAGCCUCAAGAAGUUGAAGACAGUAGCAAUCCUUACAGAAACUUGUAAGUCCAAGGUAGAGGUAGAUGACUCAGAGGCAUUUUAUUUCACUUUAAGAAAAACCCAAGCUAGCAAAUAAUAAUGAUGAGAAUUUACUCCUAGGUAAAAAAAAAUAACUUGCAAUUUCAAAGUACUAUGUAGUAUAUCCCAGAUAUAAACCACCUCCAAUUCCCUUGUUUCAGUCAUUUUGGUGACAAUAUAGUUCUAUGUGAGCCUGUUUAGAAAACAAAAUAUAUAUUUGGUAAAUGAAAAGAUGGUUGGAAUUUUAGGAGCAGUGGUAUUCAUUCACAUAGAACACAGAGAGUGCAGAAAAUUAAACUUGUCACAUACCAUGAUCACAGUCAAAACUAGAAAGAUGAUAUCAGAAGGUCUUUUCAGCUCCCAGUUGUAUCCAAAAGUGACUGUUAAUUUUAGAUUAGUUCCCCUUAUUUCUAGUUUUAGAUUCUCCCCUCCCUCUUUGUUAGGCCCAGGAGAAGGUUUUCAAUAGGAGACAGUUAUGGACAGUGUUGUGAAAGUGAGUGUUCCAAAAAGGGAUUUGGGGGAAAGAGUGUUCCCAGAACACACAAAAGCUAUUACAGCAUGACAGCUAGCUGACCUACCACUAAGAUCUGCCAAAAGUUAUUUGUGUCAUGGAGAUCCUGGUCAGAAAUCUGGACUGGACUUGCCCAGUUCUUGCCUUAGCUGGGCCAUUGCCAAAAGCUUUAUUGUUUGGACCAUGCACACUCAUUCUCUUAGUCAGAUUUGUUUCUUCCUGUUUGACAGCUUUGAAGCUAAAAAUGGUGGUGCAGUCAGACCCAUUGAUAGAUGUUCCUCUUGGUUCCUACUCAGGGCUCUUAGAUAGACCCCAUGGUGGAGGACCUUGAUUGUAGCCCUGCCAUGGCCCCUCUCAGCUAGAAGCAGCCAAAUUGACUGAUGGCCCCUUAUCCCUACGGUAGUUAAGGACACCGCUGUUGAAGGGGAUCGAGACAAGGAGAUGAACAAACAUUAGCCAGCUAGGAUAGGGACCUGAGUAACCUAACAACAAAGUGCAUAUAUACCCUUGAACUUGGGUGCUCCUUGGUAUCCUCCCCUGGAGGCCCUCUCGGUUAAUGUGAGUUCUUCUUUGGUCUUUAAUAAAAUAUACAUGGUUCAUUCCCCACUGCUCUGUCUGUUGACUUCAUACUCAGGACAACAGCCCAGAGGGAGGAAAGAAUUGGUUAUACCAUGUGGGCCAGGAAAAUACGGAAAGCUACCUAGUCAGUAAGAACCUACCAUGAUUUAACUAUGUUCUUCUUCACCCUGCAAAACAAAUAGUGUGACAGUGCAGCUUGACUUUUCCCGCUCAUCUCUGCUGGACAUCAAGUGCUUCUCUACUGGACAAGUGCUCAGCAGCCACUUAUGGCUGGUGGCUGUGGUAUGGAACAGUGUUAUUCUAGACAGCAUCACACUUUUGUCUUUUAUUUUAAAAACCUUAGAAAAAGUAUGAUGGUUUUCAUAAGAAAUUUCAAAAAUGACUUACAUUAACACAUUGG